UUAAUUUUACUCAUCUGGGACUGGGAGUUGGUGGUACUGUACUUUCUCUUUUUUCCUAGGCUUCUUCCUCCUGCUCCUACUAGGGGAUCCCGAGGCGUUUCCAGGCCAGAUGGGACAUUUAAUCCCUCAGUGUGUUCUGGGUCUGCCUGAGGAAAUCCCUCCAGUUGGAUGUGCCUGAAAAAGCUCCACAGUCAUCCAGUGGGGGGCAUCCUAAUCAGACUCCUGAACCAUCUUACCCAGCUCCUUUGAAUGUAGAGAGAAGCAGCACUGCCGUUUCAGUCAGGAAAGCCUCAUUUCAUCUGCUUAUGUCUGCGAUUUUAUUCUCUCUGGCUCGGCUCUGAGCACAUGGCUUAAUUUUCAGGAGAAGGAAGUGUAGCAAUCAAGACAACCCUGGGUGUGAAACCCACACAUUCCUCACAGGAAAGUUCCUUAUCUGGUCCCAGGAAACAGGAUAUAAAUCUUCCCAGACUCGUUUACACUUUCAGGUUAAAUAAGUGACCCAACCGGAGGUUGUCUAAACCUCCGACUCUUCACGAUUGGUCAAUUCGGAGAACAGAGACAGAGUUUUAUUACCUUUCAAACUGACUCCAUUUGCUGACCAUCUAAAUAAACAUUAACGUCUCAACCCAGAUCUCCCAUUUGAGAUUUAGUGUCUUAAAGUGUGUGAACAUACGGACCCUAGGAAAAGGGGGGGACACUGACCUCCAGACCUCGGUCGUAAAACCCUGCUCAACCAUACACUGAUAAAGACUACAUUCCUUUGGUGAAAUAAUACAAAUGACUGAUCCUGACAUCUUAUGCAUUCAGCAAUGUACUAAUCUGUCUAAUCAUGAAAUUUGUGUUAAAAUGAGAUGUUUCCCGUUUUUCUAUGUGCUUCAGAAGCCAAGUUAUCUUAUCUGACAGAAUACAUCCUUAUUCUUUAGUUCUUUAGACCAACAGCUUUUCAGACUGUUUCAUGAACUUUUAAGAGUUAAAUUUAUUGACUAUGAAUCCUAAGUUUACUCUAAGUAACAGAAAUAGUUUAGAAAUGUUUGGUUUAUAUUUUAGUUAUUUAUUUAGUAUCUUAACCAUUAGGUGGUUAUAAUGUCAUUGAAUAACCUUAAUGUGAGUAUUUAGAAUCCAUUAUUAAUCAUGAUGACGUUCAUUCACAUGUAUUUACUCUUUUGUUGUUCACAGUUUCCAUGUGUUACUAUCUGUUUCAUUUCAGAGUAAUUUAGCAUGUUCAAUGUGAUACUUAAAACAUAAUGAGAAUGUUUGAUGUGAUCCUACACUUCAUUCAUAUGUGUUUAGUAUCAAAUUAUUUAUCAUGAAACCAAGCAUUCAAUGAUAUUAAUCAUAGUGAGUGAGUAUCAGAUCUGACUCUUUUACCAGCCAAAAGAAUAAGUUAGAUCAAAUAAUCAGAGAUUCCACGACCCCUCCUCUGUCUCACACACACGCCGGAGCCACUCCCAGUGUGAGAAGAUAAAACCAGUGAAGUCGGGUUGCUCAACCUCUUAUGCCUUUUUUCUCUUGUGUGCUGACUCUCCUGUCUCUCUUAGGCCCCUUACUCUUGGGCCCUUCUCUUCUGUCCACACCCUUCUGUGGUCCUCCUUUUCUUUGUUCUCUCUUAGAACUUUUUCUUAGUCUUCUAAGUUUUACGCCACGUGUUGAUUCACGUUGAUUUUCUUUAACAUCGUCUUAGUUCAAGUUUUGAAACUUCAACUUUUUGUGCACAUAGUAAUUCAAGAUUAAGCCUUUGAUUGAUUUUCUUUAAUUUCGCGAAGCCAUUUUUGAAAGUUUUCUCUGCUCUUCGAGCCUCGUUUUUCUGAGUUUUCUGCGUGAUUUCAAAGUCACCUCCGAACGCAAUCCAACAGGCCCAGGUCAUCCUCUGUGCCAGAGUUUUUGAGUGAGACUAAAGAAGUACCCAAACGAGCAUCCACAGGAUCCACAGGCGCUGGGCUUUGCUUCGGGCCCGAGUGCUGCAACUCCUGGCUCAUCCUUCGGCUGACUUCAGUCGUCUUCUGAGCUGAACCGCUCGAACCGCCAGUAGCCCCGGACCUUCGGAACCUGCUCCAUCUUCUCCAAGGACCAGUCUCACUUAAGUAUGCAAACCUCCAGAGCUCCAGAGAGGGCUGGUGCUGUCUCAUGCGUUCAUAACUCAGAUAUCCACCUAUUUCUGGUGAUCUUAGAUUCCUCCCAAUCCACAUCCGAGUUUAUCUCGACACCAAAGUUAGUGUAGGUUAAUAUGUUAGCGCAUAUUCACUCACUAUCAUUAACUUUAGUGCUCCUAGCCUGACUCAGAAUCUUUAUUUAUUCACCUAUUAUUAUUUUAUCUUCAUUAUCUUAUCAUCAUUUAUUGCAUGUGUGUUGUACCAUCAUUUAUCCUGUAAUAAACAGAUCAUUAUUUUUCUAAGUUCUUGACUGUUAGUGUUCUUCCAGAAGUGGAGUCCCUGAAAUUAGAAUUUCGACUUAAGAUAUGAGACUGAUUAAUUAAGACUGAUUAAUUAAAACUGACUUGAUGUUUGAUUUCUGAAUUAAACUUUUGUUUUCUUUAUUUUCCCACCAUUAAGGGUGGGUGGUGCCCCUUUCAACGAGUGCAUAAAUGUCAUAAUUUGAGAUUAUUAAUCUUCAGACAUUUAUUAUAAAUUCCAAUCGCCAAGUAUUAUUUUGGUGCGGCCUUGUGAGGCUCAUUUCAAAUCGCUACAUAUAUUUUGGUGCGACCGUAUGAGGCUCAUUUCAAAUCACUACAUAUAUUUUGGAGCCCCUGCGUGAGGCGUUUCAAACAAAACUUCUGGAUACUAACAGACAACCUAAAACUUAGCCUUCCAAAUUGAUGAGAGAAACUUAUUUCCAGGCUGUUUUAGACUUAAUCACAAUCAAUGCUAUGCUUGCUGAAGUUGCUUGACUAAGUUCUGAUGUUUUCCUGAUCUAUGCAUAAAACCUUUAUGCUUUGUGUUUCACACACUUUUGUACUACAUGCCCGUAGUCUGUGUUUGAGCUGGACAGCGUGAAAUGUUGUUCUGAGUAGCAGUGAGACUGACUCUUCUGCUCUGUCUAGACUGUCCAAUAUUUAAGUGCACGAUUGUUGCGUCGCCGUACGCUUGUAUUUAAGGCCUUUGGCUGAACCCAGUGUUCGCGAUGCUCCGAGCUGUGGUUUCAAGCCCCUGAAGUCUCUGUAGUCUGCUACGAGGUUCUAGUAACUAUAUGGGAUUUAGAUUUCCUCCUUUCCCGUCACAGAUUAGCUAUCUGUCACAGGAAACCACUGUAACAGUGGGAGGUUGUUGUUUGAUUGAAUUCAGACAAAAUUUGUGAUCACAAAUCGCCGCAUUUGUGAUUUUAAAGUCUGCAGUUGAAUCUGCUGUUGAGGGAUUUGUCACUCUGAUUCUUGGCUCUAUAGUCUGCUACGAAGUUCUAGUAACUAUAUGGGAUUCAGAUUUCCUCCUUUCCCCUGACAGAUUAACUACCUGUCACAGGAAACCACUGUAACAGUGGGAGGUUGUUGUUUGAAUGAAUUCAGACAAAAUUCGUGAUCACAAAUCGCCGCAUUUGUGAUUUUAAAGUCCGCAGUUGAAUCUGCUGUUUAAGGAUUUGUCACUUCGAUUCUUGUUCCUGUAAAUGAUUCUAUUGAACCAAUCUGCCUGAGCAGAUGGUGUAAAGCUCUAUGUUUGAGGGUGCAGACGCAGCCUGCUGUGAAAUCUUAACCCUUUGUUGUCAGUGGAGAGACUGACCAUUUGGCCUUAAGCAGAUAAGGCCCUUCAGGAGGCAGAGCCUAAAGGCCCCUUCCUGCACACUUCCCAACUCCUCACAGCCACAAGAGGCUAGUUGGAUGACUGUUUCCUCUUUUCUUCUUCUUCUCCACUUGUGUUGAGCUUGUGCAGUUCUCCCAACUCCAUACUGCCCCACAUGGUUGCUUUUGGUAUUGAGCUAACACUGUUAUCUGCCUGCAGUAUCAGCCAGCUGUACUGCCUCUCUGUAGUCAGUGUGUAACACUCUACAGACAUAAUUCAAGUGAUUGACUUGGUUGAUGAAGUUUGAUGUGCUUAUUCUAAAUCAUUGAACACUGAUUUUUGAUUUGUAUCUUUGUUAUAAGAGCCUACAUAAUGCAUUGAUAAAGUAACUCCUUGAAUCAAUCACCUGAUCUUGUUGUUACUUAUCACACCAUUGAGCAGUUUUACUGUUCCCUAUAAUACAUGAAUGUAUUAACCCUCCUCAUAAGAUUAAUUAAUUAAUGAACAAAUUAAUUAAUAUUUGAAAUUUCUUUUAACAUUCCAGAUAGAUUUGGUAUUCGAACCUUUGGAUUUAUUGCAAUUUGUGAAUUAACUUCAGAGUAAAUUCCUUAAAUUGACAAUUUCAUUGAUCUUUCAAAUUCAUCCAACUGCAUCAGGCAGUUUAUUUAAGCUUUGCUGAUCUCUGCAACACAGAGACAAAUUGAACCCUUUAUUCAAUGGUUCUGUAUCUGAUGUUAAAUUUAAUUUAACAUCAUUUCACUUUUUUCAAUUUUCAUUGAAAUGAAUUUAACUUUAUGGUUUUUUCUCUCCAUUAGAGAUCUACUCAGAUAGGCUCUUUCUCUUUAUCAAGCACUGAUAAAUUAAGUCGAUUAACCCACUUAAUUUGAUAUUUUGCUUCUUCCUUUCAUUUUAAGUCAACUCAAACUCAUCAACCAACCAGCUGCACCUCUUUACCAAAACCAAACAUGCCUAACACAAAAGAGUCCAGCCAGGGAGACCCCCUGAGGGACAUACACACAGUGUUGGCAAACUUGACUAGUCAGUUGAUACCUCAAUACAUGACUAAGAUUCAAAAGGCCAAACCCUCCAAUCCGGAGGAUGCAAUGGCUGACUUACUGGAAACAGCCUUAACCACGAUACUUCGUGACAAAGAGCUCACUAGAUGCAUGUCUGUCAUGAUGUCUUCUCAGCUUGAGUAUAAAGACUACUUGCUGGAAUGCGCUUUAGCAAAGAUAAAGGCGCAAAAAGACGAAAACAGCGCUCUGAAAAGACGCUAGAGGAGACUAAGAAGUCUCUAAGUGUUUUAGAAAAACACAGUGCCAGAUGUGAAGCGUCAAAGCUUCCCUCACUGAUAAGUCAUGAAGAAAAUCUUGAUCUCAAAGACAAGAUUGAAAGACUUAAUGAAACCCUUUACAAAAAGGAGAAAGAACUUGAUGACACGAAUAAGCAGCUUGCUAAGACCACAGAGGAUCUGAUACAGUCAGAAUCCCUACUAGAGCAAGCAACAGAAGAUGUAAAAACUUUGAAAGCACUGGUCAAAGUGCGUGCUGAAGCUCUUGAAGUUAAGGCGAAGCAAACUUCUACCUUACAGCACCAGCUCCAGAUAGCUCAAAGACAGUUAAUUCUUUGUCAAGAACGGCAAGAAAAGACAGACAAAGAACUUGAAGAUGCCCAAAGAGAGUUACAAUGCUCCCUCUAGUCAGGUCGAGCCCAAAGAGAACGCAUGGAGCAAACGUUUCUUGAAGAAAUGAUAGGUGAUCAGCCUCCUGAGAGAGCGCCAUCACUUCCUUCCAAACCAACUCUUAAGUAUCUCUCUCAGCAUCAUGACAGGACCCUGCUUGACCCUGAGAGGUCAUCCUUAAACCAAGAGUCCUACUCUCCUCCUCAUGAUGGCUUCUUACCAUCUCCCUCAGAUAGGGAUCUUGACAAAAUUGCUCGCAACAUAGCACGCUUUGAACCUGAGCACCAAGGUGCUACUGACACCUGCACCUACUUGAAAGACAUUGACUUUUCCCUGAGGAAAUUUCCAUGUGCAACCGUUGAUGACAAAAUCUACCUUAUUAAGGCGACGUCAAGUCGAGAGGUUAGCAGUUUCCUUGAACGACAGCCUUAUCAUGUCAGAAAUAAUUAUGACUUGCUCUGCCAAGCAUUAAUUGAAGAGUUUUCUGACUAUUUGACCCAGACAGGCCUCUCUGCUGCUCUGUCUAUUAAACAAGGGAGAUUAGAAUCUCCCCAACAGUAUUACAACCGCUUAUGUGAAGCUUACUUUGGUUUCCGAAAUGAACCAGAAAUGGAGGAGGACUUGAACUUCAAAACGCUGUUCGUCCAGAACCUCCACCCUACCACCAGUCAUCACCUUGGCGUCUUAGCUUGUCCAAACACUUCGACUAGCCGACAGCUUCGUGAACUUGCUGUAAAAGGUUUUGCCAAACAACGACAAACUUUGGCUAAGAAAGCAGAGCCCGUUACUCUCUUGGCUAUGGAGACAAAAUCACUGCCCGUGGAGCUGAACGAAGCUUCAGACUGUGUAUUUUCAGGCUCCGAUAAGCCUCCAAAUGAGUGGUUAACCAGGCCUCCAAAACCUUUUCGACCUCAACACAUUCACAAAGGUCAAAGUUACACACCAAGGCCCGGGUCUGACACAGACCAAUGCCAGGUAAACUUUGAGACCAACUGUUGUUAUUCAGACUCCCGUCACGGUGGGUUUUAUCCCAGACAAAGGAAAAACCAUCAACACCGCCAAAGGGGGGUGAAUGACUGGCAGAAUCAGAGUAAAUCACACUCUCAGAAACGACAAUCUUAUUAUCCACCUCAAUCGGUUUCAUCCACUUCGAAGGUGAAUAAACAUGACAACUCAGCUAACCACUGAGAUUAACACUGCGGAGUCAUGAAGGUGUGAGUCCUGCGAAAGCAGAAGUCACCCAGCCAAAGCUGAAUGACUCCAAUAAGAUGUCCAAAUGCUGUGGUGAUACAUUGAUGACUGCAAUCCCAGUUGCUGCUUUCUUUGUUAGCAUUUGUCUCUCCUCUGUCAAUAUGGUCAGCUUGUCAGCUGUCAAAUAUCCCAUGAACAGAUUAAAAGCUGAAAUUUCUGUCAUUAAGACUCAGAUUGACAAAUUUCAGACUCAACAGCAGAUAAUUAGUCAAACCGAUAAGAGCAUCAUCCCCAAGUUUAACAGACAAAGUUUAAGAGAAACUCUGUGCAGUAAACCUUUGAUGUUUGUGAUUCAGGUUGACUAUGCUCAUACACAGAUGGUUAAUAUGUCUAUAGCAGACAUUUCUUUUCCACCUAAGUCUUAACCAUUUUUGAAACUGAAAUUGAACUUUCAGACUUCUCCAGCAAGCAUGAAAAACAGCUAUAGCUUUAGAUCCGGUUAGCAUUCAGACUAAAGAGUGCUUUUCUAAAUCUCAUUAAUACUGAAAAUUAGGAGAUUUUCUUUCACAUUAGUCUACCAAUAGUUAACUGAGAAAAGUCUAACACCUAGACGAUUUUAUUUGAUAGCUUAAUGCAUGCUUGAUGUUAUCUUAAAGCAGAUACUAGUGAUUCACAUAGUGAUAAUGAGACGCAUCAGUCCUAUUUGCAUACACCUGCUGCUGCUGCUGCUGCUUCAUGGUUGUCUACUCGUCGUCCCGAUGCUCCAUGGACAGGACCACCGUGACAAAGGGGGGACUGUAGCAAUCAAGACAACCCUGGGUGUGAAACCCACACAUUCCUCACAGGAAAGUUCCUUAUCUGGUCCCAGGAAACAGGAUAUAAAUCUUCCCAGACUCGUUUACACUUUCAGGUUAAAUAAGUGACCCAACCGGAGGUUGUCUAAACCUCCGACUCUUCACGAUUGGUCAAUUCGGAGAACAGAGACAGAGUUUUAUUACCUUUCAAACUGACUCCAUUUGCUGACCAUCUAAAUAAACAUUAACGUCUCAACCCAGAUCUCCCAUUUGAGAUUUAGUGUCUUAAAGUGUGUGAACAUACGGACCCUAGGAAAAGGGGGGGACACUGACCUCCAGACCUCGGUCGUAAAACCCUGCUCAACCAUACACUGAUAAAGACUACAUUCCUUUGGUGAAAUAAUACAAAUGACUGAUCCUGACAUCUUAUGCAUUCAGCAAUGUACUAAUCUGUCUAAUCAUGAAAUUUGUGUUAAAAUGAGAUGUUUCCCGUUUUUCUAUGUGCUUCAGAAGCCAAGUUAUCUUAUCUGACAGAAUACAUCCUUAUUCUUUAGUUCUUUAGACCAACAGCUUUUCAGACUGUUUCAUGAACUUUUAAGAGUUAAAUUUAUUGACUAUGAAUCCUAAGUUUACUCUAAGUAACAGAAAUAGUUUAGAAAUGUUUGGUUUAUAUUUUAGUUAUUUAUUUAGUAUCUUAACCAUUAGGUGGUUAUAAUGUCAUUGAAUAACCUUAAUGUGAGUAUUUAGAAUCCAUUAUUAAUCAUGAUGACGUUCAUUCACAUGUAUUUACUCUUUUGUUGUUCACAGUUUCCAUGUGUUACUAUCUGUUUCAUUUCAGAGUAAUUUAGCAUGUUCAAUGUGAUACUUAAAACAUAAUGAGAAUGUUUGAUGUGAUCCUACACUUCAUUCAUAUGUGUUUAGUAUCAAAUUAUUUAUCAUGAAACCAAGCAUUCAAUGAUAUUAAUCAUAGUGAGUGAGUAUCAGAUCUGACUCUUUUACCAGCCAAAAGAAUAAGUUAGAUCAAAUAAUCAGAGAUUCCACGACCCCUCCUCUGUCUCACACACACGCCGGAGCCACUCCCAGUGUGAGAAGAUAAAACCAGUGAAGUCGGGUUGCUCAACCUCUUAUGCCUUUUUUCUCUUGUGUGCUGACUCUCCUGUCUCUCUUAGGCCCCUUACUCUUGGGCCCUUCUCUUCUGUCCACACCCUUCUGUGGUCCUCCUUUUCUUUGUUCUCUCUUAGAACUUUUUCUUAGUCUUCUAAGUUUUACGCCACGUGUUGAUUCACGUUGAUUUUCUUUAACAUCGUCUUAGUUCAAGUUUUGAAACUUCAACUUUUUGUGCACAUAGUAAUUCAAGAUUAAGCCUUUGAUUGAUUUUCUUUAAUUUCGCGAAGCCAUUUUUGAAAGUUUUCUCUGCUCUUCGAGCCUCGUUUUUCUGAGUUUUCUGCGUGAUUUCAAAGUCACCUCCGAACGCAAUCCAACAGGCCCAGGUCAUCCUCUGUGCCAGAGUUUUUGAGUGAGACUAAAGAAGUACCCAAACGAGCAUCCACAGGAUCCACAGGCGCUGGGCUUUGCUUCGGGCCCGAGUGCUGCAACUCCUGGCUCAUCCUUCGGCUGACUUCAGUCGUCUUCUGAGCUGAACCGCUCGAACCGCCAGUAGCCCCGGACCUUCGGAACCUGCUCCAUCUUCUCCAAGGACCAGUCUCACUUAAGUAUGCAAACCUCCAGAGCUCCAGAGAGGGCUGGUGCUGUCUCAUGCGUUCAUAACUCAGAUAUCCACCUAUUUCUGGUGAUCUUAGAUUCCUCCCAAUCCACAUCCGAGUUUAUCUCGACACCAAAGUUAGUGUAGGUUAAUAUGUUAGCGCAUAUUCACUCACUAUCAUUAACUUUAGUGCUCCUAGCCUGACUCAGAAUCUUUAUUUAUUCACCUAUUAUUAUUUUAUCUUCAUUAUCUUAUCAUCAUUUAUUGCAUGUGUGUUGUACCAUCAUUUAUCCUGUAAUAAACAGAUCAUUAUUUUUCUAAGUUCUUGACUGUUAGUGUUCUUCCAGAAGUGGAGUCCCUGAAAUUAGAAUUUCGACUUAAGAUAUGAGACUGAUUAAUUAAGACUGAUUAAUUAAAACUGACUUGAUGUUUGAUUUCUGAAUUAAACUUUUGUUUUCUUUAUUUUCCCACCAUUAAGGGUGGGUGGUGCCCCUUUCAACGAGUGCAUAAAUGUCAUAAUUUGAGAUUAUUAAUCUUCAGACAUUUAUUAUAAAUUCCAAUCGCCAAGUAUUAUUUUGGUGCGGCCUUGUGAGGCUCAUUUCAAAUCGCUACAUAUAUUUUGGUGCGACCGUAUGAGGCUCAUUUCAAAUCACUACAGAAGACUAUUCAGGUGUGCAUGAUGUAUUUUUUUAUUUCAUUUCCCUUUUGUUUUCCACCCAAUUACACUAUUUUUGCUUUAUUAGCACCGACAGUAAACCAUCCUCAGUAAACAUUUGAAUUGAGUCCUGUUUUCAGUGUGCUAAUCACAUUUUUCAUGAGGCCUACCAAGCCUUUGUUAAUGGAUUUUACCAAUUAGCACUCCUCAAAGAUUGAAAAUAGAGGAGCCGAAGAUGAGUCUGCUGAAUACACACAGCCGUCACAAAAAGUGAUGCAGACUGACAGGUAUUGUUCAAAUCGACAGAUUGCCUUAAAAGCAAGAAGGGACUGUUCACAUCUCAAAUGACAGGAAAUGACAAAGCUCUGGCUCUGAAGAACAAAACCCCUCUACUUUCUCUGUCUGGCUCCUUGAGUGCUUGAUAAGAGCUAAGAGCUGCGCUGAGACAUGAAGGCGUUGUGUGGGCUGCCGGAGAGUGUAGGAUAAAAGCAUCAAGAGUCCACAUGUGACACAAGAGGAGGGAAAAUGGAGGGACGGUCACAUGCUUCUGGUACACCCAGAAUUUUUCGUUUAUUUAUCUGUCUGUUAGAAGUUGAGAUAAAACCUAGAGUGAGUUAAAACCUAACUUUGUUUUAACUCAUGCACAUUCACAAGAUUUCUCACAAUGAAAAAAAGUUUCAUUUCUAAUCAGUCAGCUGCUGCCUGUGGUGUUAAAAAUGAAGCUGGAGCAGAAACCAGGCUGAAAACAGCUAUUUUCCUUGUGUAAAAACAGGCUUUUUUGUUGGUUUGUUUUUUAAGGGCAACAACAGCCACAUCAUACAGUAGAUGUUUGUUUGGAUUUACUCUAUCCCAUCUAUUCCAUUGGGACCAUGAACUCAAAGGAACAUAACAGCAGCAGUUAUGAGGACGGAAAAUAAAUGCUAACGUAUGACGGUGAGCUGAUGGCCUCUAAUGACAUCAAAGCUGUGUCAAAAGUAACACCUACAAACUUUAAAUCAAUCUACAAGCAGCCAAAAUAAAGCAUUUUGGGCAGAGGCUGCAUUAUGCUGAAAUGAGGGUUUUUACAGAUGCCAACUGAAGACUUUUUUUGUGCUGUAAAUUCUGCAAAGCUAUUCUACAUGUGUCCUAAACCGACUUGAUGAAAGAUAAAAAUGUGUGUAAAUGUCCUGUUUAAUGUGAGAUUAUUUUCAAAGCCGAGUUUCUCCCAAAUCCACUGACAAAUACCUGCCCAGCACCAGACAGCAGAUUGACCCCAUAGGGGGUAGUAUUGAAAAAGAAACAGCCGAGGAGUCCGAUACUGACAACAACAAAAUGAGCUUAAAAAAAAAAAAAAAAAAAAAGACUGAACAGUGCAUUUAUGAAUUUUUGGUGGUGCUGAGAAUUACAUCAAUUUAAAUGUUUCCCAGUCUUGCACUUUACCUGCUGGAUGUGUGAAAGGUAAUGUUUGGGUCCUCUAGAGGAAGUGAUCAUUGAAGUCUGUGUUUUUAGGAAAUAGAAUUGUUUCCUCUCUCUACAGUGAUUUAGCAUCUUGCAUGAGCAGAUGGCUUUUUUUUUUUACCCCUACAAGACACAACUUUCUGAGAAUCCCUCCUCUGCUGCACUGGUCUACACAUCUGUUCUAUUGCAGGGUAAACUCCUGAGUCACAGAGACAAUGUAAAGAUAUAUUUAAACUCCAAUUUACAGGUUUUUCUUGAUGUACAUGAACUAUCACAGGUACAGAAACACAGCAGGCUCUGGCCCUUCACUGAUCACACUCUAGUUUAUUGUGCUCCUCUCUCUGUAGCAAAUCAGUGAAAGCAACCCCAGGUGAUUCAGCCCCCACGUUUUCCACCUGUUCCAAAGAUGACUAAUCCACGGCCUCCUCUGCAGUGCCCCCCUCCCCUCCCCUUCCCUCCCCUCCUCUCUUCUCUUCUCCUCUGAAUAGAC